UUAGUUGAAGCUAAAGUUAGAAGCACUUCACUGUUAAUGGAGUUUAGAGGAAAACUCCAACUAAG
rnacentral:tRNA from 1 species